AUACGGGGGGGGCAAGCGUUGUUCGGAAUUACUGGGCGUAAAGGGCGCGUAGGCGGCCGCCUCAGUCGAACGUGAAAUCCCCCGGCUCAACCGGGGAACUGCGUCCGAUACUGGGUGGCUGGAAUCCGGGAGAGGGAUGCGGAAUUCCAGGUGUAGCGGUGAAAUGCGUAGAUAUCUGGAGGAACACCGGUGGCGAAGGCGGCAUCCUGGACCGGCAUUGACGCUGAGGCGCGAAAGCCAGGGGAGCAAACGGGAUUAGAUACCCCGGUAGUCCUGGCCCUAAACGAUGAAUGCUUGGUGUGGCGGGUAUCGAUCCCUGCCGUGCCGGAGCUAACGCGUUAAGCAUUCCGCCUGGGGAGUACGGUCGCAAGGCUGAA
rnacentral:rRNA from 1 species